GCCCUAAUCACCUGGAUAACUCAGUUGAUUUGAGUGUGGUGCUGAUAAUGCCAAGGUUGCAGGUUCAAUCCCUGUAUGGGACA
rnacentral:tRNA from 1 species